AUGAAGCCGGAAUUGCUAGUAAUGGCAGGUCAGCAUACUGCCGUGAAUACGUUCCCGGGCCUUGUACACACCGCCCGUUACACCAUGAGAGUUGGGGAUACCCAAAGCCCGUGAGCCAACUGUAAGAGGCAGCGGUCUAAGGUAGAAUCAAUGAGUUGGGGUGAAGUCGUAACAAGGUAAC
rnacentral:rRNA from 1 species